GGUCAAGUGAAGAAGCGCAUACGGUGGAUGCCUUGGCAGUCAGAGGCGAUGAAAGACGUGGUAGCCUGCGAAAAGCUUCGGGGAGUCGGCAAACAGACUUUGAUCCGGAGAUCUCUGAAUGGGGGAACCCACCUAGGAUAACCUAGGUAUCUUGUACUGAAUCCAUAGGUGCAAGAGGCGAACCAGGGGAACUGAAACAUCUAAGUACCCUGAGGAAAAGAAAUCAACCGAGAUUCCCUUAGUAGUGGCGAGCGAACGGGGAUUAGCCCUUAAGCUUCAUUGAUUUUAGCGGAACGCUCUGGAAAGUGCGGCCAUAGUGGGUGAUAGCCCCGUACGCGAAAGGAUCUUUGAAGUGAAAUCGAGUAGGACGGAGCACGAGAAACUUUGUCUGAACAUGGGGGGACCAUCCUCCAAGGCUAAAUACUACUGACUGACCGAUAGUGAACCAGUACCGUGAGGGAAAGGCGAAAAGAACCCCGGAGAGGGGAGUGAAAUAGAACCUGAAACCGUAUGCGUACAAGCAGUGGGAGCCUACUUGUUAGGUGACUGCGUACCUUUUGUAUAAUGGGUCAGCGACUUAUAUUCAGUGGCAAGCUUAACCGUAUAGGGUAGGCGUAGCGAAAGCGAGUCUUAAUAGGGCGUUUAGUCGCUGGGUAUAGACCCGAAACCGGGCGAUCUAUCCAUGAGCAGGUUGAAGGUUAGGUAACACUGACUGGAGGACCGAACCCACUCCCGUUGAAAAGGUAGGGGAUGACUUGUGGAUCGGAGUGAAAGGCUAAUCAAGCUCGGAGAUAGCUGGUUCUCCUCGAAAGCUAUUUAGGUAGCGCCUCAUGUAUCACUCUGGGGGGUAGAGCACUGUUUCGGCUAGGGGGUCAUCCCGACUUACCAAACCGAUGCAAACUCCGAAUACCCAGAAGUGCCGAGCAUGGGAGACACACGGCGGGUGCUAACGUCCGUCGUGAAAAGGGAAACAACCCAGACCGCCAGCUAAGGUCCCAAAGUUGUGGUUAAGUGGUAAACGAUGUGGGAAGGCUUAGACAGCUAGGAGGUUGGCUUAGAAGCAGCCACCCUUUAAAGAAAGCGUAAUAGCUCACUAGUCGAGUCGGCCUGCGCGGAAGAUGUAACGGGGCUCAAACCACACACCGAAGCUGCGGGUGUCACGUAAGUGACGCGGUAGAGGAGCGUUCUGUAAGCCUGUGAAGGUGAGUUGAGAAGCUUGCUGGAGGUAUCAGAAGUGCGAAUGCUGACAUGAGUAACGACAAUGGGUGUGAAAAACACCCACGCCGAAAGACCAAGGGUUCCUGCGCAACGUUAAUCGACGCAGGGUUAGUCGGUUCCUAAGGCGAGGCUGAAAAGCGUAGUCGAUGGGAAACAGGUUAAUAUUCCUGUACUUCUGGUUACUGCGAUGGAGGGACGGAGAAGGCUAGGCCAGCUUGGCGUUGGUUGUCCAAGUUUAAGGUGGUAGGCUGAAAUCUUAGGUAAAUCCGGGGUUUCAAGGCCGAGAGCUGAUGACGAGUCGUCUUUUAGAUGACGAAGUGGUUGAUGCCAUGCUUCCAAGAAAAGCUUCUAAGCUUCAGGUAACCAGGAACCGUACCCCAAACCGACACAGGUGGUCGGGUAGAGAAUACCAAGGCGCUUGAGAGAACUCGGGUGAAGGAACUAGGCAAAAUGGCACCGUAACUUCGGGAGAAGGUGCGCCGGCUAGGGUGAAGGAUUUACUCCGUAAGCUCUGGCUGGUCGAAGAUACCAGGCCGCUGCGACUGUUUAUUAAAAACACAGCACUCUGCAAACACGAAAGUGGACGUAUAGGGUGUGACGCCUGCCCGGUGCCGGAAGGUUAAUUGAUGGGGUUAGCGCAAGCGAAGCUCUUGAUCGAAGCCCCGGUAAACGGCGGCCGUAACUAUAACGGUCCUAAGGUAGCGAAAUUCCUUGUCGGGUAAGUUCCGACCUGCACGAAUGGCGUAACGAUGGCGGCGCUGUCUCCACCCGAGACUCAGUGAAAUUGAAAUCGCUGUGAAGAUGCAGUGUAUCCGCGGCUAGACGGAAAGACCCCGUGAACCUUUACUGUAGCUUUGCACUGGACUUUGAGCCUGCUUGUGUAGGAUAGGUGGGAGGCUUUGAAGCGUGGACGCCAGUUCGCGUGGAGCCAUCCUUGAAAUACCACCCUGGCAUGCUUGAGGUUCUAACUCUGGUCCGUAAUCCGGAUCGAGGACAGUGUAUGGUGGGCAGUUUGACUGGGGCGGUCUCCUCCUAAAGAGUAACGGAGGAGUACGAAGGUGCGCUCAGACCGGUCGGAAAUCGGUCGUAGAGUAUAAAGGCAAAAGCGCGCUUGACUGCGAGACAGACACGUCGAGCAGGUACGAAAGUAGGUCUUAGUGAUCCGGUGGUUCUGUAUGGAAGGGCCAUCGCUCAACGGAUAAAAGGUACUCCGGGGAUAACAGGCUGAUACCGCCCAAGAGUUCAUAUCGACGGCGGUGUUUGGCACCUCGAUGUCGGCUCAUCACAUCCUGGGGCUGAAGCCGGUCCCAAGGGUAUGGCUGUUCGCCAUUUAAAGUGGUACGCGAGCUGGGUUUAGAACGUCGUGAGACAGUUCGGUCCCUAUCUGCCGUGGACGUUUGAGAUUUGAGAGGGGCUGCUCCUAGUACGAGAGGACCGGAGUGGACGAACCUCUGGUGUUCCGGUUGUCACGCCAGUGGCAUUGCCGGGUAGCUAUGUUCGGAAAAGAUAACCGCUGAAAGCAUCUAAGCGGGAAACUUGCCUCAAGAUGAGAUCUCACUGGGAACUUGAUUCCCCUGAAGGGCCGUCGAAGACUACGACGUUGAUAGGCUGGGUGUGUAAGCGUUGUGAGGCGUUGAGCUAACCAGUACUAAUUGCCCGUGAGGCUUGACCA
rnacentral:rRNA from 1 species